GCUGGGCAUAGUGGCAUAUGCCUGUAGUCCCUGCCAGUUGGGAGGUUGAGAUAGGAGAAUCACCUGAGCCCAGGAGUUCAAGGCUGCAAUGAGCUGAUUGUGCCACUGCACUCUAGCCUGGGCAACAGAGUGAGAACCUAUCUCAG
ensembl:misc_RNA Metazoa_SRP Metazoan signal recognition particle RNA